rnacentral:lncRNA from 1 species
CUCCCCCACCUCCAACCUACCCCCCACCCCAUCCACCCACCACUCCCCAGGCAGGGUAGGGCCCCCAACCAGGGCUCCACCAAGUCCACCAAAUCUUCCUGUGCUGGGCCUAGGCCCCUCCCCAUGUGUCCAGAGACAGAGCGCAUCCCUUCAAAUGGGAUGGGCUCUCAAAUUCCCCCACACACACCAGGGCAAAACGCCAGUCCACCUCCAGAGGCUCCCAGGAGUGCAGGGGCCUCCCCAUUUGCAUCCAUGAUCAGGGGGCUGGAUCAGUCCCGUACUGGCCUCCCAAAGAGUUUCUGGGGUCGAUAUGCUUUCCCUUUUUCAGGCCAACUGUUUCUGUGGGUUUCUACAACCUGGUACAGACCCCUUCAUUCUUCAUUCCUCCCUCUCUUCAACUAGGUUCCAGAUUUCAGCUCAGUGUAUUUCUGUGGAUGUCUGAUUUUUCUAUUGCUGGCUGCCACUCAUAGAAGCAGGAAGAGUUGUGGCGCAGUGGAAAGGCAUCCUUACAUAGCUGCUGCCCGGACUUCUGCAGCUGCAGGUUUUCAUCAGGGAUUCAAACACUACCUUCUGCCAUGACUGAGAAUACAGCACGCAGUUACAGACAGUCAAAUUUGUAUUAGGAGUCGGCUCUCCCUAGCAGCAGAUGAAGGAAUAGAACUGUUCCUGUAGGAUGACUAAUACCAUAUUGAUACAUAAGAAUGGACAUACUUUCUUCCCAUUUGUGUGAGUAACUUGGAGAUCUGAAGGCUGCCUAGCCAUUCCUUCAUACCAGCUGCUAUUUCUGAGGGGAGCCAUACAGCCCUGAUCCAUUAUAAGAUAACAUAAAGUUAGAUAAAUAUGAAACAGAGUUACUGGAAAGAAAGCAUGGAUCAGCAAAGGUAGUGAUGGAAAAGGGAGAGAAGGGACAAUCAAAUUGAAGCAGGAAGAAACUAAAUAUAGAGAUCUAUAACAUACAAGACUGAAAAUUACUCACGAAGGAAUGGAAUUUCUUCAGAUACCAGGAACCUUCAUGUUGUGCAGUCUUCCUUUGCAUCUCACUGAUUGUCAUGUUUUUAGUGUAAACACUAAAAGUUAUAGGGAAAACAGAGCAUUGCUGUACUAAUAUUCUAUCCCCUAUCAUUUUCAAUUGAAAACCUAAAUAAUCUUUAUUUAUCACAAUCCUUGUGGCAAACUGGCUCAUCCUUCCCUUUGACACACACUUCGUGCAUUCUUGUGUCACAUAACAAAUACAGUUUUUAAGCACCUACUAUACACUGCACAUUUUGUAGUGUAAUAUUUCAAUUUUGUGAACUAGAUUUGUAAAGGAAAGCAAUGUCAAUAAGAAAUAUACUAGGAAAAUAAUAUUUUGGUUUACAUUUUCAGUGAAAAAGACAAAAUGAAA